UUUGAUAUCCUUAUGGGUUUUGUGUUUCGGCCGCAAGAUUUGAAACAAUGGUUUCUAUCAAAU
rnacentral:tRNA from 1 species